AACAUCGCGCACCUGCGGGAACCUGCGGAAGGAUCAUUACCGAGUUUACAACUCCCAAACCCCUGUGAACAUACCUAUACGUUGCCUCGGCGGAUCAGCCCGCGCCCUGUAAAAAGGGACGGCCCGCCCGAGGACCCUAAACUCUGUUUUUAGUGGAACUUCUGAGUAAAACAAACAAAUAAAUCAAAACUUUCAACAAUGGAUCU
rnacentral:misc_RNA from 1 species